UGCCGCAGAAGCCAGGUGUGAAAUC
rnacentral:piRNA from 1 species